rnacentral:tRNA from 1 species
GGGGAGGUGCCGGAGUGGCUGAACGGGGCCGCCUGCUAAGUGGUUAUCGGGGUAAAACCCGAUCGGGGGUUCGAAUCCCCCCUUCCCCGCUA